UUUAUGAUUGAAAGCAGGACUUUCACUUCAUCCACCACAAGCUAAGACCUUAAAGUACGUGGAGGCGUGUGCGCGUGAAGAAAUACACGUUACUCCUCAGUGGUAGACUGUGCUGUUAUUAAGUACUUGUACUCCACUAUGCAAACAGAACGUACGGCAGGCGUACCGUUUCCACGUCAAUGCAUCAAUAAGACUCGGCUUCGCAUGAAAACAGUUUUACUGUGACGGAGAGCUUUUAAACUUUUAACUUUUACAAAGUCGGUGAUGUGAAUGUUUCUUUAACCAGUGCAAACAAAGCUCAGCUCGUCGGCUCACCUGGCGUCGCGUCAGCUCACCUUUACGGCCAAACGUGUGUUUCCGCUGCCGGGACUGGCGACAGACUGGACGUUUUCCUCACCUUUUUGGACUUUCCCGACUCAUCCACCUCCCUCUCCAUCGAAGGUAUCGACACCUCAAUCAUGGGGAAAUCUUUCUCCAACACCAUCGGGACUUGGCACACCGUCGCAGAUUAACUUCCUACGGCUGACUGCAAACUGAGACGCUGACUUCAGCCGCUUUCCUCCGCGUCCAGGAACAAGAAAACACGACGAGUCCGCCUGUCGGCUGCCGCUCUGCGGUCGCCUUCCUCCGCUGCUCCACCUACACACUAAUUGAACAAACCCAGGAGUCAGGCGCAUCAGGGACGUUAAAGGUGCAGUCCAACAUUUAGGAGUAAAAGUCAGUGAGUUUACAACAACGCAGAGUUCAUCGUGUGGGCGGAGAGCGUGUCGGUUAAUGAAAGUUUAGUUUCCCUCUGCUGCUGGCUGGCAUCCAUCUGAAGGUGUGUCGUGUCUGAGGCUCAGAGCUUCGUGUGCCACACUUUUCUUUUGAGAAAGAAGAAAUGAUUUUAAACUUGUACCACAUACGGGCCGGGGCCGGGAUUUCCUCAGCCUCUGACAACUUUGACCAGACUCCUACUCUUCAAUUCACUUGUUCCUUUAUUUAUUUAUUUAUUCGGUGAAAGUUAGGCUGUUUUCUCAUUAAGAUUUAUUUCCUCAGCCUGCAGACUCUGAGGAAGACUUUUAUUAUGUUACUCUGUUUUUGCAUUUUUACUUGUGCUUCUGUGCACCACCUGAUGUUUAAUAAAAUUAAUUAACAUCA